CUCGUAGGCGGUUCGUCGCGUCCGGUGUGAAAGUCCAUCGCUUAGCGGUGGAUCCGCGCCGGGUACGGGCGGGCUUGAGUGCGGUAGGGGAGACUGGAAUUCCCGGUGUAACGGUGGAACGUGUAGAUAUCGGGAAGAACACCAAUGGCGAAGGCAGGUCUCUGGGCCGUCACUGACGCUGAGGAGCGAAAGCGUGGGGAGCGAACA
rnacentral:rRNA from 1 species